rnacentral:rRNA from 1 species
GGUCGCAAGAUUAAAACUCAAAGGAAUUGACGGGGACCCGCACAAGCGGUGGAUGAUGUGGAUUAAUUCGAUGCAACGCGAAAAACCUUACCUACCCUUGACAUGGAUGGAACCUCGGAGAGAUCUGAGGGUGCUCGAAAGAGAACCAUCACACAGGUGCUGCAUGGCUGUCGUCAGCUCGUGUCGUGAGAUGUUGGGUUAAGUCCCGCAACGAGCGCAACCCUUGUCAUUAGUUGCUACGCA